rnacentral:lncRNA from 1 species
GUUUCUUUCCCAGAAGGAUUACACCUGUUUUUCUUUGGAAGUUUCACUGGGCAGAUCCUGACUCGUUUCACUUUCUGAUUUGAACAGCUCUGGAGCUCGUGGUGGGCGAGGUGUGCUGUCCCCAUGUCCCCAAGGUCUGGAGAGCCAGCAGCACAGGAGGAUGGCCCAGGGGCAGGACAGGGACCUCAGCUGUGGUGCUCAGCUCCACAGGACCCUGCCAAGGAGAGUGGGAAAGGCACAGGAAACAAAAGGCAGGAGGAAUUUACCUCAUUCCCUCCUGGCACUGAGGCCAAGCACACAAAUUCUGGGAGCACCCAGAAUCUGGGAGAAGGUGAAAAUGGGAUCUGGUAACGCGGCAGCACAAGGGGAUGAGGACGAGGCCAGAUCUCACAGGACACUCCAAAGCAGCUGCUGGCUUGGAAAUGAGACAAAUCUGGAUGCCCAAGGACAGAGAUCCAGCCUUUUCCAACGAGAUGGAGCUGCCACUUCACCAAAAGUGGGGUUUUUGACAGUGCCAUCCCAUUUUUUCUCCCAGGAGUGGUGCACCCUGGGAUGGGAUGGGAUGGGAUGGGAUGGGAUGGGAUGGGAUGGGAUGGGAUGGGAAGGAGGGGCUCAGUCAGGAUGGCUUUGGAUGAGGAUGGCAUUUCCAGCUUUGCAAAGGAAAAGCCAAAGGUGGAUGUGACAGCAGCGUGGGCACAACUCGUCCUCUCCAUGGGGAGAAAACAGCGGCGAGGGUGAGCAAAGGGUGGGAUCUGGGGAGCAGGGAAGGACCAAACAGGAGGAAAAGUGGCCCUGGAGAGCAGAAUUGGUUGAUCAGGUCUCCAGGCAUCCUCAGGGGAUUUUUGUGUCGUUAUUGUGUCGUUACUGUGUUUGUUCCAUUGAAGGGACGGUUCCAGGACUCUCCCUGACCCCCUGGACGUGGCUGGGUGGAGGCAGAGGGGUGGCCAGAGGUGUCCUCUCCUCCACAUCAGCAGUGAUGGGAUUUCUUGGGAAGCUGCAGAACCUUCCUGUUCAGCUGGAGAAGUGGAAAUCUUUCCCCACGGCCUGGUCCAAAAGAGGCAGUUUUGCUUUAAUGAUGGGCUGAAACUCUGCGUGGAAAGCAAACAUCUCCUCCCAAGGAUUUCUUUUUCUUUGGAGCAAACUCCAGCAGUUUCCACCCGAGCUGCUUUUGCAAAUUUUGCAGCACACACUGUGUGUGACUCUGCCCAGCUCCAGAGCAGGGAAACUGAGGCACAGAGCAGGGUGUGACAAAGGCUUACGGUGACAUGUGGAAACACCAGCCCAGGACAACCCAAAGGAGGAAUUGGGGUAACCUCUUACAUCUACAACACUGCAAUUGAUUUUAGAAUCACAGAAUCACAAAUUGCUUUGGGUUGGAAGGGUCCUCAAGGACCAUCUCAUUUCACCCCAUUCCACCAGCCCAGGCUGCUCCAAGCCCCAAUGUCCAACCUGGCCUUGGACACUUCCAGGGAUCCAGGGGCAGCCACAGCUCCUCUGGGCACCCUGUGCCAGGGCCUCAACACCCUCCCAGGGAACAAUCCCUGCCCAAUAUCCCAUCUAACCCUGCCCUCUGGCAAUUUGAAGCCAUUUCCCCUUGUCCUGUCAUUCCAGACCUGUAUCCAAAGUCCCUCUCCAGCUCUCUUAAAGCCAUUUCAGGCACUGGAAUGUGCAGAAAGGUUCCC